UACGGGGGGGGCAAGCGUUGUUCGGAAUUACUGGGCGUAAAGGGUUCGUAGGUGGCCCGCUAAGUCACACGUGAAAUCCCUCAGCUUAACUGGGGAACUGCGUGUGAGACUGGCAGGCUUGAGUGCAGGAGAGGAACGCGGAAUUCCAGGUGUAGCGGUGAAAUGCGUAGAUAUCUGGAGGAACACCGGUGGUGAAGGCGGCGUUCUGGACUGUAUCUGACACUGAGGAACGAAAGCCAGGGGAGCAAACGGGG
rnacentral:rRNA from 1 species